AACCAGCACCUCAAGUGGUCAGGAUGAUUAUUGGGCCUAAAGCAUCCGUAGCCUGCUUUGUUAGUUUUCGGUUAAAUCUGUACGCUCAACGUACAGGCUGCCGGGAAUACUGCAAAGCUAGGGAGUGGGAGGGGUAGACGGUACUCGGUAGGAAGGGGUAAAAUCCUUUGAUCUAUUGAUGACCACCUGUGGCGAAGGCGGUCUACCAGAACACGUCCGACGGUGAGGGAUGAAAGCUGGGGGAGCAAACCGGAUUAGAUACCCGGGUAGUCCCAGCCGUAAACCAUGCAAACUCAGUGAUGCAUUGGCUUGUGGCCAAUGCAGUGCUGCAGGGAAGCCGUUAAGUUUGCCGCCUGGGAAGUACGUACGCAAGUAUGAAACUUAAGGAAUUGGCGGGGAGCACCACAAGGGGUGAAGCCUGCGGUUC
rnacentral:rRNA from 1 species